AUGGAAGCAGGGAAUGGAUAGGAAGAAGUUAGCAUGCAAAGAAUUACAGAUGAAAGGCAGCACCAUGAGAACAUUGAGAAGAUAAACGUUGUUAGGAAUUGUAGAGCUCUCAGGCUGGCCUGGGCUCUGAGCACCCUUAUGGAGCUGGAGAUGCCCGUGUUCAUUGCAGGGAGGUAGAGCUAGCUGACCUUUAAAAGUCCCUUUCAAAUCAAAUGAUUCUAUCGUUCUUACAACUGUCUGCACAAAAACUGAUCAAUUUGAAUACUGGUUUGUUAACAGGUAAACUAGGAUAGCUAUCAAUGUUUUAUCUAUGGAGGGAUAGCAUAGAGCUUUAAACUCAUUCAGAGGCGUGAAGCAUUUACAGAACUAGCAGCUUUUAUUGCAAGCUAAAGAAACAGAGAUACUGAGAUAUCCCUGCUCCAUUCUGCCUAACAAAACACUCUGUAUCAUCGUAUAUAUCAGUACAUUCAGAGACUAUGAGAACAUCAAUUUAAAUAUCAGUUCUUCCAGUAACCAUCAGUUAAGCCUAUUCAGGCCAUAAUACUGUUAUUACCAUUCUAUUUCAACUGAUGCUCCCCUGCUUCUGCAGAUAACAGAUUAUAAAUUAACACAGAUCCCAACAGAACGUGGCCUCCAAGAGGACAAAUGCAAAUCACAUUUGCACUCUACCCUUCAGAACAGAUGUGUGAGUGCAUGUGAUCUUUAGAGCUGGUACAUCUUACAGUGCCCCAAGAGUCAAGGUUGCAUCCUGAGUGCCAUCAGUGCUCUCCUAAGUGGCUGUGCACAGAAGAGAAAAUGCAGAACAAUUCUGCAUAUGGCAGAAUGCUUUCUAAUUUUUUUUUUUACACAGGCCCUGAAAAAAAUAUUGGAAUUAUUUUACAUACUUUUUUAUACCAUAUAUAAAGGUUAAAAUUUAGAUAACACAAAAAUUACUAAUGGAUGCUAUUUUUUCUUUCUGCAAAGAGCUGUCAUUAAACAUAAGAAUUCCUUCAGAGACAAAGAGUGAGUACAAGGUUUUCCCUUCUGUGCACACAAAAUUGAAAAAUUUUCUCCAGAUGAGCAAUAAAUGAAUCAAAACUUGACAAAUUAAAUUCACCUCAGGGACAUCUUAUUCCUGAAUUUCUAACAGAAGUAUUAACAUUUACUAUGUGACUAGAUACCUUGGCACGUUCAUAAUAAACUAAACCUUUUAUCUGAAGUCUGAAUUUAAAUAAAGCUCUUGAAAGAAUUAAAACCUCUGUCAACUUCUGCUCUUCAGAGGCGGUAUUUUCUUAUUAAUUUCUGGAAAGUAUUUUCAGUUCAUAUAUAAUUUGUUAUGCCACAACACGUAGAGUCACUAGAAUAGUUCAGACAAGGGGAAAAUUAACCUUCAGCAGUAACCAAAAUACCACUAAUGAGGCAAUAAUAACCAAUAGCAAAGAUGAGGCAUCCCAUCAAUCCAAUCAGUGUUUGAUUGAAUCUUUCCCUAGAAACCACAUUAAAUUAUAAAAACAUCACGAAUUUACCUGACCCAAAAUGAACAAUCAGGUUUACUGGGUCAGGUGAGUAAAAGCCAUCCUAUACUCACCCCUUCAGGGAAGGCAGAGAUAAGUGAAACUCAAGAACCUGCCAAUAGAUAUUGAGUUAGCUGAAUAUAAAGCAAACACAAAUCUGGAAAUGCUAUGCAUAUGGCUAUCUGUUCCUGCACAGUCAUUGUUUGAUUGUGUUUUGAACAAGAUACAAGUUGAGGGAAGAACUUAUUUUGGAUGCCAUCACCAAGAAGUGGAAGAAAGGAAGGUUAUCAGAUGAAGUCAGCAUUUGCAAGAGGAAAUCAUGCUUGACCGACUUGGUAGCCUUCUGUGAUGUCACGACUGGCUGGGUCAAUGAGGAGAGCAGUGGGCACUGUCUACCUUGAUUUCAGCAAGGCUUUUGACACUAUCACUGAUAACAUCCUCAUCAUUCUGACAGGGUCAGAGUGAGGUGUGACAGAGCAUCAUGACUACUGAAGACCACUACCAGUCGCAUCAGGGUAAACUGUGCCUUGCCACUGGUUAAUUUAUGGGAGCUCCAAAUAUAUCUCAUCAUGGAAAAAAUCCACCUGAGCAACUUGAGAGGGAAUGGGAAGGUGGACAAGAAUUCCUGUCACAUACAGAGGAGAAAACCUCCAUCACUGAAGUGACCCAUACCUGUGUGUUGGUCCUGUUCAUCCCCAUCUAACAAACAGGCCUGACACGACUUCACAGGAACCAAUAUUAUCCCUUCAUUAUCAUCAUAUGAGCAGUUUUCUCAAUGAUCUGCAUUUGUUUCUUCCUUAAUAAAUGGAGAGAAAUA